rnacentral:rRNA from 1 species
UACGUAGGCAGCGAGCGUUGUUCGGAGUUACUGGGCGUAAAGGGUGUGUAGGCGGUUGUUUAAGUUUGGUGUGAAAUCUCCCGGCUUAACUGUGAGCGUGCUUCCGAUACGGGCAGACUUGAGGUAUUCAGGGGAGAACGGAAUUCCUGGUGUAGCGGUGAAAUGCGCAGAUAUCAGGAGGAACACCGGUGGCGAAGGCGGUUCUCUGGGAAUAUCCUGACGCUGAGGAGCGAAAGUGUGGGGAGCGAACAGG